rnacentral:rRNA from 1 species
UACGAAGGGGGCUAGCGUUGUUCGGAAUUACUGGGCGUAAAGCGCACGUAGGCGGAUACUUAAGUCAGGGGUGAAAUCCCGGAGCUCAACUCCGGAACUGCCUUUGAUACUGGCAAUCUUGAGGCUGGAAGAGGUUAGUGGAAUUCCCAGUGUAGAGGUGAAAUUCGUAGAUAUUGGGAAGAACACCAGUGGCGAAGGCGGCUAACUGGUCCAGAUCUGACGCUGAGGUGCGAAAGCGUGGGGAGCAAACAGG